UUCUUUGGAUUAAUUAUUUUAUUCUUUUGAUUUGGUUUCCUGAGUUGUUCAGCCAGCUUCCAGUUUGCUAUUCAUACAGCCAGCCGAGUAUGGAGGAGGCUGGGAGAUGAGUCUAUUCUAAAAUGGAUACCAGGGCAGACCCAGAGACCCCUGGAGAGGAGACACUUACCAGAAGCUGAUCACCACUUGGCAAUGAGGUGACUGUGUUCACAGACUCCCUGCUCCUGGAGCUUUGGGCAUGCUUUGGCUGUCUUUGGACUGAAGGGCAAACUCACUCCCAGGCAGCUGGAAGACAUUAUUUUCCUUGAGUAAGAACUGUGUUGGCCAUAACUACAUUUGUUGAGGUUGGUAGUGGGGGAAAUGUCCCCAGAG
rnacentral:lncRNA from 1 species